rnacentral:tRNA from 1 species
UCCCUGGUGGCUCAGACAGUAAAGCGUCCGCCUACAGUGCGGGAGACCCUGGUUCAAUCCCUGGGUCGGGAA